CUUGAACGCUGGCGGCAGGCCUAACACAUGCAAGUCGAACGAGUGGCGGACGGGUGAGUAAUGUCUGGGAAACUGCCCGCUGGAGGGGGAUAACUACUGGAAACGGUAGCUAAUACCGCAUACCAUCGGAUGUGCCCAGAUGGGAUUAGCUAGUAGGUGGGGUAAAGGCUCACCUAGGCGACGAUCCCUAGCUGGUCUGAGAGGAUGACCAGCAAAACGGGAACUGAGACACGGUCCAGACUCCUACGGGAGGCAGCAGUGGGGAAUAUUGCACAAGGGGCGAAAGCCGGAUGCAGCCAUGCCGCGUGUGGGAAGAAGGCCUUCGGGUUGUAAAGCACUUUCAGCGGGGAGGCGUUACCCGCAGAAGAAGCACCGGCUAACUCCGUGCCAGCAGCCGCGGUAAUUC
rnacentral:rRNA from 1 species